UACACUCUAAACCCUUUAACGAGGAUCAAUUGGAGGGCAAGUCUGGUGCCAGCAGCCGCGGUAACACCAGCUCCAAUAGCGUAUAUUAAAGUUGUUGCGGUUAAAAAGCUCGUAGUCGAAUUUGUGUCCCGCGCCGCCGGUUCAUCGCUCGCGGUGUUAACUGGCGUGUCCGCGGGACGUCCUGCCGGUGGGCUUAGCUCUCGGGCGGCCCAAUCUCAAUCCCACCGCGGUGCUCUUUACUGAGUGUCGAGGUGGGCCGGCACGUUUACUUUGAACAAAUUAGAGUGCUUAAAGCAGGCUAAAAAAUCGCCUGAAUACUGUGUGCAUGGAAUAAUGGAAUAGGACCUCGGUUCUAUUUUGUUGGUUUUCGGAACCCCGAGGUAAUGAUUAAUAGGAACGGAUGGGGGCAUUCGUAUUGCGACGUUAGAGGUGAAAUUCUUGGAUCGUCGCAAGACGGACAGAAGCGAAAGCAUUUGCCAAAAACGUUUUCAUUGAUCAAGAACGAAAGUUAGAGGUUCGAAGGCGAUCAGAUACCGCCCUAGUUCUAACCAUAAACGAUGCCAGCUAGCGAUCCGCCGACGUUCCUCCGAUGACUCGGCGGGCAGCUUCCGGGAAACCAAAGCUUUUGGGAUCCGGGGGAAGUAUGGUUGCAAAGCUGAAACUUAAAGGAAUUGACGGAAGGGCACCACCAGGAGUGGAGCCUGCGGCUUAAUUUGACUCAACACGGGAAACCUCACCAGGCCCGGACACCGGAAGGAUUGACAGAUUGAGAG
rnacentral:rRNA from 1 species